CAAACACUGCACUUGGCACAGCCGCAGGCCACAUCCCUGCCCACCAGGACCUCUCUGUGAUAAGGGCCAACGAUGUUUCCAUUCCUGUUCAUGAAAUCACUUGGCGAUGAGUGAAAUCUGUGUGCGUUGUAACAACAAAUGACUGCAACAGAAAAUCACCAGAUUUCCAUCAUAACUCAAAUGCCAGCCAGGCUUGGUGGAUGGGCUCCUGGCUGAAAUCUCCAUAGCUGCAUAAUCAUUAGCGGUGAGAACAGUCACCUACACGUGAAAGAAUGACUAGAGGAAAACAAUUCACUCCACUUAAGCAAAGUGAUGCUCCCUUUGGCUAAUCUAAAUACCUUGGGGUUUUGCUAGGUCUUCUCCUUCCUCUCUUCUUCCAGUCGAUGAGGGAACUUUGAAAGCCAGCGUGGGAGAGCAUUACAUGGCUGGAUGAAAACUCUGCUGGGUUUACAGUGAGCUGGCUCAUUAUUCAGUGAAACCUCCAUCCUUAUUCAGCCUUGAAUAUUUAAAUCCAUACAGAUCGGAACAGUACUCCAGAGCCUGGGAACACCGUGCAAUGCGCUCUAAAUCCCUGCUUUCAUGCGCUGAAAGACCCGUCAUUUUUACCCCUCCUACCAGCCUAAUUGACCGCAUUUCCGUGAACACUCGCUUGCUGGUUCCUAGCAAUGAAGACUGUGGGGUCCUUUCUUUCCAAGGUUGUGCUGGAAAGUGGAGAAGGUAAAGGGGAAAGCAACAGGCAGGCAAGGGGAAUCCGGGAGAAGGGACUCAUCUGCAGCAGUCAUGCCUCUCACGGAAUCACAGGCCAGGCUAUGAGGAAGAAACGCGGGCUUUGCUCUCGGUCACCUAAUGACGCUUUGUCAUUUUUAAAGGGCAUUGCACUGUGAUUGCCAUGGAUACAUGAAAAGAUAAUGUGCUAUUUUUAGCAUGAAGCAUAAAAUAAAAUCCAAAGUUGGGCAAUAUGACCCUCACGCCUCCAGAGAGCCUCAUUAAAAUGAGAUGUUUCCCUUCAGAGGUGAACUCAAUUUUCUAUGCUGGAGUGAGCCUGGGCACCUCAUUCCUUUGCAGACACAGAAGGCAGCGGAGCCGAAGAUUUCACCACAUUACGGGGUUAGGACUUUCAAAUCAAGCCUAGUUCAAAGAGGCCGGCCAAAACCUAGCAUUGUGUCCAGAUACGCAGCUGUGCUCAAAUACGGCUUCCGACCUGAAGACCCAG
rnacentral:lncRNA from 1 species